rnacentral:rRNA from 1 species
GACGAACGCUGGCGGCGUGCUUAACACAUGCAAGUCGAACGGAAAGGCCCUGCUUUUGUGGGGUGCUCGAGUGGCGAACGGGUGAGUAACACGUGAGUAACCUGCCCUUGACUUUGGGAUAACUUCAGGAAACUGGGGCUAAUACCGGAUAGGAGCUCCUGCUGCAUGGUGGGGGUUGGAAAGUUUCGGCGGUUGGGGAUGGACUCGCGGCUUAUCAGCUUGUUGGUGGGGUGGUGGCUUACCAAGGCUUUGACGGGUAGCCGGCCUGAGAGGGUGACCGGCCACAUUGGGACAGAGAUGCGGCCCAGACUCCUAGGGGGGGGCGCAGUGGAGAAUAUUGCAAAAGGGGCGGAAGCCUGAUGCAGCAACGCCGCGUGGGGGAUGGCGGCUUUGGGGUUGAAAACCGCUUUCGCCUGUGACGAAGCGUGAGUGACGGGAAGGGGAAAAGACGCACCGGCAAACCACG